rnacentral:lncRNA from 1 species
GCUGUCAGAAUUAUCAUUCAUAAUAUAUUGAUUAAGUUGUGUCUUUCUGAUGAUGGUCAGAUUGAUCAGGCCACACUCGAGCCUGGUCACUCAUUUGUUAGAUGUACUAAAUUUUGGUAUAUUAAUGGUUGGACCUAACCAGAACUUUCAGUGGAGGUGCCAUACGCCUGCUGAAGAGGUGUCUAGGGUAAAAUUGAAUGUUCGAAAUUAUUUGAUAAAAUAAUUG